rnacentral:rRNA from 1 species
CGGAUAAAAGCUACCCCGGGGAUAACAGGCUUAUCUCCCCCAAGAGUUCACAUCGACGGGGAGGUUUGGCACCUCGAUGUCGGCUCAUCGCAUCCUGGGGCUGUAGUCGGUCCCAAGGGUUGGGCUGUUCGCCCAUUAAAGCGGUACGCGAGCUGGGUUCAGAACGUCGUGAGACAGUUCGGUCCCUAUCCGUCGUGGGCGUAGGAAAUUUGAGAGGAGCUGUCCUUAGUACGAGAGGACCGGGAUGGACAUACCUCUGGUGUACCAGUUGUCGUGCCAACGGCAUAGCUGGGUAGCUAUGUAUGGACGGGAUAAGUGCUGAAAGCAUCUAAGCAUGAAGCCCCCCUCAAGAUGAGAUUUCCCAACUUCGGUUAUAAGAUCCCUCAAAGAUGAUGAGGUUAAUAGGUUCGGGGUGGAAGCAUAGCGAUAUGUGGAGCUGACGAAUACUAAUCGAUCGAAGACUUAAUCAAAUUUC